GACGAACGCUGGCGGCGUGCUUAACACAUGCAAGUCAAGGGGGCCCGCAAGGGUAACCGGCGAACGGGUGCGUAACACGUGAGCAAUCUGCCUAGAUGUGGGGGAUAGCCGGCCCAACGGCCGGGUAAUACCGCAUACGCUCACCGGGUGGCAUCACUUGGUGAGGAAACAUUCGUGGCAUCUAGAGGAGCUCGCGGCCUAUCAGCUAGUUGGUGGGGUAACGGCCUACCAAGGCUUUGACGGGUAGCUGGUCUGAGAGGAUGGCCAACCACAUUGGGACUGGGAUACGGCCCAGACUCCUACGGGAGGCAGCAGUGGGGAAUAUUGCGCAAUGGCCGAAAGGCUGACGCAGCGACGCCGCGUGGGGGAUGAAGCAUUUCGGUGUGUAAACCCCUGUUGCUCGGGACCAACAACUGGUUUCGACCAGUCUGACGGUACCGGGUGAGGAAGCACCGGCUAACUCCGUGCCAGCCGCCGCCGUAAGAC
rnacentral:rRNA from 1 species